AGGUUAGCACUCCCCUUGAAAAGGACGAAAUUCAUCUUCGGGUGACAACACACGAAUUGCCACUUACUUUGUGGCAUCUCAGCACGUUUUUUC